rnacentral:rRNA from 1 species
CGUUAAGGCUGAGCUGUGAUGGGGAGAAGACAUUGUGUCUUCGAGUCGUUGAUUUCACACUGCCGAGAAAAGCCUCUAGAUAGAAAAUAGGUGCCCGUACCGCAAACCGACACAGGUAGUCAAGAUGAGAAUUCUAAGGUGAGCGAGCGAACUCUCGUUAAGGAACUCGGCAAAAUGACCCCGUAACUUCGGGAGAAGGGGUGCUCUUUAGGGUUAACGCCCAGAAGAGCCGCAGUGAAUAGGCCCAAGCGACUGUUUAUCAAAAACACAGGUCUCUGCUAAACCGUAAGGUGAUGUAUAGGGGCUGACGCCUGCCCGGUGCUGGAAGGUUAAGAGGAGUGGUUAGCUUCUGCGAAGCUACGAAUCGAAGCCCCAGUAAACGGCGGCCGUAACUAUAACGGUCCUAAGGUAGCGAAAUUCCUUGUCGGGUAAGUUCCGACCCGCACGAAAGGCGUAACGAUUUGGGCACUGUCUCAACGAGAGACUCGGUGAAAUCAUAGUACCUGUGAAGAUGCAGGUUACCCGCGACAGGACGGAAAGACCCCGUGGAGCUUUACUG